UAACCGCUUACCACAACACACGUGAUAAAACCAUCAGAUUAUUACCCUCUCUACUGUAUAUAGCUAAUCGUUUGCAUUAGCAAAUCCAAUCUCGACGUUUCGAUCGCCCGUCAGCUACAAGACUUAGAAGAUAUGAUGAAGCAAACCGCAAUGGAUGAAACUACAACAAUCUACGAACCAGAGCAGGUUUUCAAACAAAAUAAGCCCCAAAAACAGAGCACACAGAUAUGCUCUAUUCAUGCCCUUUAUGACCUCAUCGCAACCUUCAGUAUUUCUCAAUGAGAAGCUGUACACAAAUGUGGCUUCGGAGGAUUGCUGAAGAUGCAUAGGAUAAAUGUACACCGUAUUUUGUGCAUGUGGAUUACAAACCAAUUUGAUACAAAGGCUGAAGCAUUCAACAUCCAAGGCAGCUAUCUGAGUCUAUCCAGUAGGGACGCUGAGCAUUUGCUUGACCUGCCAUCACAAGGAGAAGAAAUAUUUGAACCACCAAAGACCAAGAAUAUGGACUUGUUUGAUGAAUUCAAGACAGCAUCUAAGCAAGGGGCACAUAUAAAAUUAUCUUCUUUGCAAUAGUAUUUUCAAACAAACAAAGGUAUAUAUGACGACAAUUUCAUUCGCCGUUUUGUGCUCUUUGUGAUCAAUCGGUGUUUUCCUGUGCCCAACUACUCAAAGGUAUGUAAGCUUGGCAUACCUAAAUUUUGUAGAGGAUGUCAAUGCAAUCAGUGCAAUUAACUGGACAAGCUUGACUUUAAACCACCUAAUGAAAAGCAUUAAAAAAAAUUAAUAAAAAAAGGAGUCAAUCUUGAAGGAAACCUACCACUUUUGUAGGUAAUGCAACUGCACAAUUAUUAUUUUGUACCAACAAAAGACAAGUUGUUUUUACUCAAUUGUACUUGUUGCAGUUAUGGUACUGGGAGAAGCUACGAGCUGACAAUUUGGAUCCAACCAUAGAUUAUACUAUGCGCGACAAACCACUUAUUCAAUACUGGGACAAGCACAAGGCAAAAAAAAAGAUAAUACAAUGGUAAAGGGAAGUAGUUUGUCAUCCUGAAGUAACAAGGAAGGGAACAGCAUCAAAUGGGCACACAGACGACUAGUCUCAGGAAGCUAACUUUUUUACCAUCUACCAAAGCACUAUUUUCGACCAGCUAACGUCAAUGAGUUAUUCUGUACUAGAUUGUUGACGACAUCACACUUGCUAUAGAAUGCUCCAAAUCCUCACAAAUCCGAAAAGAUAAGAAUGUCCAAGACAUAACAAGAGACAGCGAAGAGAGCAAACAAUCAGAAUCAUGUAUCCCUACUGAUAAGGAUGUCCAAGACGUAACAAAUGACAGCGAGAAGAGCAAACAAUCAGAAUCAUGCAUCCAUACUAAUAAAAUGUCCAAGACAUAGCAAGUGACAGCGAGAUAAAAACAUCAGAACAACGCGUCGACAGCACAACACAUGCCACUUCACACAAGGAUAGCCCAGAAACUGAGACGCUGACCCGAAAACUAAUCAUGCUGAUAGAACAGCAAGGAAAGGAGAUGAAGGAGAUGAAACAGAAUCAACAGUCCAUGCAUAACCAAAUUCAAUCACUCACCAACAUAAUAGCUGCAUUCAAAGAGGAAAAGACAAUAUCAACAACUUCCAAGAACUCUAAGCCAAAUGUUUGCAAAAGUUCCAACAAAGAAACACAUAUAAUUAAAAAAAAAGAAACCAAACCCACCAACUCAAACGCCUGUCAUUGCCAAGUCACUUUCAGGAUCAACACGAAGACUGCGUAAAUCAACAAUUAAAUCAAAUACUGAUUUCGUCUACAAUUUAGGGGCUACAAAGAAGAAACCAAAGAAUGCGCAAGCACAUAAUUUAAUAUCCAAUGAGUUCAAGUGCACCGCAGAAGAUGAGGAAACCAUUAAAAGUAUAAUGAGUGCACCAGAAUCACAACUAGUGGUGCAUAUCGAUGAUGUCUCAAUUUCCCAAAAAACAACGCAAAUUCUGACUAAUCCGGUGACUGAAUCAAGCAUGAGCUAUUUGGAUGAUCAUAUAAUCGAUGCAUACGUUACUUGUCUACGUGAGAAAGAUAUGAAGGAAGGUACAAGGACUAGGGCAGAAGGUACGGUGUUCCCAGAGAAACCGUUAAUAACAAGGUUGCUACAAAGAGAUGGCGAACACUACGUUUCCAAAGACAUCAUCGAUCGGGCAAUGGCUAAAGCAACGGCAAAUAGAUAUCUAAAGCAUGAUAUGAUUUUCCUCCCCAUGAACAUAAAAGAAAAACCAUUGGUACCAGGCAGUCAUACACGCCAAACGCCGCAUCAUCCAAGUGCUUGACUCCGUGGCGAAUUCAUCCACACAACACAAGGAACUAAGAAAAGUUCUAGAAGGAGUAGAGCAAUAUUUUCAGAUGUUGGAACCAGAUGAAAAGCACAUACCAACUCAAUGGCCUGACCAAAAAAUUACUUCCUGGGAAGUCACGGUCGUACAGAAUUUGCCAUUACAAGGAGAUCUUGUCUCAUGUGGGCUGUUUGUAUUAAAAAACAUGGAGCACUGUCAAGGCAAUAGGUUGUCGAAGGAAUACACGCAUGAAGAUAUAAAAAAUUUUAGAAGGAAGUUAGCUGCAAUCUUGGGGGACGCUCGCAAGAAGAACGAUAAAAGGAAGAUCUAAUACAUGCUACACCUCCCAACAUACUGUCCGAAAUAAAUGUCUUUGUUCUAAUUCCUUUAAUAUAAGGAGUUAGUAUUACUGAAAAAAUGGAUUGUUCCUUUAUUAUUUUGGCAAGUGUUUUCAAUAGUUUGCUCAGAACAAUUGUGUGUGUACCAUUUUGUGCAAUAUACUACAAUAUCAGCAGAAACGGCACAAACAAUUACACAAAUGCAAUUUCAACAAUAAAUUUCAACCUUUCAAUUUGGAAUGUUCCGAAGUUCUCAAAAAAAUUUAUCUCUUCACCACCCAUCAGCCCUGCCCUGCCGCUGCCACCUGCCGCCGCCCGACUGCCCUUGCCGCUGCGAG